GAAUCUUUUACUAUCUAAUCAUGACAUAUGGACCAAAGUUUAUCCAUCCCACAUUAUAUGGGUAAAUUCCCAGGAGUGGGAUUGCUGGGUCAUAUGAUGGAUCUAUUUUCAGAUCUGAGGCGUCUCCAUUCUGCCUUCCACAGUGGCUGCACCAGUUUAUGUUCCCAGCAGCAGUGGAUUAAGGUAAUCUCUGCGUGGCGGUCAGAUGUGCUCCACAUCAGAACAUUCUAGUGCUCAAAAUGAGACAGCACUUUUGCUUUGACAAAGACAGACUUCCAAGCGCCACACUGCACAAGCACAAUUCAUGCCUUUGUUUAUAUCAAGUUAACAUGUUACCAAGUUGACACCAUGUUAGUGUUCAGCUGCUGAAGAAACCAUGUCACUGAGCCCAGAGUAUCUGUGCAGGACACUACACUUCUGCAAUAUUAUCUUAAUUUGAAAAUUAUAUGAUACAUCAUUAAAAAAACAAACAUUAAAAUAUGUUUAUGUACUAGCACUAUGAAUUGAUUAUUUAUGCAAUCCUGAUAAUUAAAGUCAGUGUCUCAUAAUGUCCAAAUCAUAAUAUUCAAAUGGACAGAACAGGGCUUGGAUUCCUAAA